CCCCAUACUUCAAUCACAACAGCGCGGGAUGGGUUUGCGAAUCCCGAUGUGGCUUAUAAUAUAAUAAUGAAUUGUACAAAGAGCGUGACAGCUAGAGUUUUCACCGUUAAUGAAUUGUACACUCGGCGUUCUGUUUUUUUGCAUGCGAGUUCAAGUAGCCCGUGUCCAUACUUUCUGUACCCAUUUACAUUUCAUUUUCCUCGUUCAUUUUUUUGGCUGGUCACGAUAAGGAGAACGAGUUCUGCAGCAAAAACGAAAUGUGAGGGAUACAUUUGUUUGUCAUCUUUCGCUCUGUUUCACUUUUUAUGGUCCUGCUAAGAACAGCAAUUCUGAAAGAGCAGGGAUGGCACAGCGCACCUGAGAGGCAGGUUACUUAACCAAUUUACUUAAUGAAGAAACUCGAUCUAGCUGAUGUAAUGAAUUGCUCAUAUUCUGGGUUGAGCCUUACUCUAUUGUAUUUUACAGGUUUUUUUUACCUUCCGAAGAAUUUUGUGCCAGAUGCCCUUAUCUUUUAAAGGAAAUUGGUCCAGCUGUUGCAUUGGAUUGUAUACAUCUUGGUUUUUUGUCACAUUAAAUAUUGUACUAUAGAAUAUGUAUGCUUGUGGUACUCUGAACCAUUGGAUUGAAUGACCCUGCUUUUACUAGAACUUUGACGUGGACACCUUUAAAGUGAAAUGCAAGGCCUGAUCUUUGUGUUAGUUUUAGAUUUAAGCUCUCUGUGACCGGUUUGGGGUAUGUGUGUACUCUCUUUUCCCCCGAGCCGAGCAGAGGAUUAGAUGGAUUGAUAUACCAUCCAAGUUAACUGGAUGAGUGUUAAUGGUCUUGUAGACUCGACAGGUUUGUAAUAAAAAUUAAUGUCGAAAAGCCUUGCAGAUUCUGAAGUA